CGGGAGGGUAGCUUCGACGAACUUUCGAAGUAUAGGGUGGUUUCAGCUUUCGGCGCUUCCCAGUUUCCAUUUCCAUGAAUCAUCGGCAGACAGAACCAUCCGUAGGCUGUGGAAAUUCAAUAUCGUUAUUUAUCAGUAAGACGUUGUUCUCAAAACACAUCUUUUCGAGAGUACAGUUUAAAAAGUCAUCGAAAAAGACUAUAACUGAGGUGAAUAGCCAUGAAGUGUCGUUUUUCCGCUGGAGAAACCCAAGUAUACUUACUCGAGCUUAUUGAAUCUUAUAGACCGAAGAAUUUAUCGAACCAACACAGUUCUCUACUUCCCCAGCGAACAUUUAGAUAGUUUUUAGAAUACCUACCAAAGUGCAAUGAAUAACGCCAUCAUUCAGCUCUAUCGUUAAGAAAACGACGAUCAAGAAGAAAAUAGUGUCAAGAGUCGAAUUUGACAUGAAAAGAACACGAUACAGAUAAACGACCUAUCCGAUAAAAAAAAAAGUGACGCUGACGUAUCUAUCUACCACAUAUAUACCAACGAGAUUUGCAUUGCGACGUUGAUUACGUGAAAAACAAAACGUUCGUUAGGUAGGUACCUAGGUACCUAUCUCUGAAACGAGAAACAU